AAGCGGCAACAGCUCAAAUUUGAAAUCUGGCCCUUUCAGGGUCCGAGUUGUAAUUUGGAGAAGAUGCUUCGGGUGUGGCCCCGGUCUAAGUUCCUUGGAACAGGACGUCAUAGAGGGUGAGAAUCCCGUAUGUGACCGGUGGCCUCGCCCAUGUGAAGCUCUUUCGACGAGUCGAGUUGUUUGGGAAUGCAGCUCAAAAUGGGUGGUAAAUUUCACUAAAGCUAAAUAUUGGCCAGAGACCGAUAGCGCACAAGUAGAGUGAUCGAAAGAUGAAAAGCACUUUGGAAAGAGAGUUAAACACUACGUGAAAUUGUUGAAAGGGAAGCGCUUGCAACCAGACUUGCGCGCGGCCGAUCAUCCGGUGUUCUCACCGGUGCACUCGGUCGCGCUCAGGCCAGCAUCGGUUUGGGUGGCUGGAUAAAGGCCUCGGGAAUGUGGCUCCCCUCGGGGAGUGUUAUAGCCCGAGGUGCAAUGCAGCCUACCCGGACCGAGGACCG
rnacentral:rRNA from 1 species